rnacentral:rRNA from 1 species
CGUGCAAGGUAGCAUAAUCACUUGUCUACUAAUUAUAGACUUGUAUGAACGGCUAAAUGAGGGCCUAACUGUCUCCCGUGAUUAAUCAAUGAAACUGAUCUUCCAGUACAAAAGCUGAGAUAAACCCAUAAGACGAGAAGACCCUGUGGAGCUUCAAGCUCCAUUGUUAAUACAACGAAUACCACCAAAAGUUAUAUAACAAUAAGCUUUCAGUUGGGGCAACUUUGAAAAAAAAAAGAACUUUCAAACCACCAGGUGAUAACCUAUUCAGGCCAACAUGCCAAGACAAUAAUUACUAGACCCAGUCAUACUGAUCAAUGAACCAAGUUACCCCAGGGAUAACAGCGCAAUCUUCUUCAAGAGUCCUUAUCGCCAAGAAGGUUUACGACCUCGAUGUUGGAUCAGGACACCCAAGUGGUGCAGCCGCUACUAAAGGUUCGUUUGUUCAACGAUU